rnacentral:rRNA from 1 species
GUGCCAGCCGCCGCGGUAAUACGUAGGGGGCUAGCGUUGUCCGGAAUCAUUGGGCGUAAAGCGCGUGUAGGCGGCCUGGUAAGUCUGCUCUGAAAGCCGAGGGCUCAACCCUCGGAGGCGGGUAGAUACUGCUGGGCUCGAGUCCGGAAGAGGUGAGUGGAAUUCCCGGUGUAGCGGUGAAAUGCGCAGAUAUCGGGAGGAACACCAAUGGCGAAGGCAGCUCACUGGGACGGUACUGACGCUGAGACGCGAAAGCGUGGGGAGCAAACAGGAUUAGAUACCCGAGUAGUCC